UUAUUGCAGGUAAAACGAGGACACUCC
rnacentral:sRNA from 1 species